rnacentral:rRNA from 1 species
UACGGAGGAUGCGAGCGUUAUCCGGAUUUAUUGGGUUUAAAGGGUGCGUAGGCGGCUUUUUAAGUCAGAGGUGAAAUCCUGCAGCUCAACUGUAGAAUUGCCUUUGAUACUGGUUUUCUUGAAUAUGUACGAAGUGGGCGGAAUAUGACAUGUAGCGGUGAAAUGCUUAGAUAUGUCAUAGAACACCGAUUGCGAAGGCAGCUCACUAGUCCAUUAUUGACGCUGAGGGACGAAAGCGUGGGGAGCGAACAGGAUUA